AGCGAACGCUGACGGCAGGCCUAACACAUGCAAGUCGAACGAAGUCUUCGGACUUAGUGGCGGACGGGUGAGUAACACGUGGGAACGUGCCUUUAGGUUCGGAAUAACUCAGGGAAACUUGUGCUAAUACCGAAUGUGCCCUUCGGGGGAAAGAUUUAUCGCCUUUAGAGCGGCCCGCGUCUGAUUAGCUAGUUGGUGAGGUAAAGGCGAACCAAGGCGACGAUCAGUAGCUGGUCUGAGAGGAUGAUCAGCCACAUUGGGACUGAGACACGGCCCAAACUCCUACGGGAGGCAGCAGUGGGGAAUCUUGCGCAAUGGGCGAAAGCCUGACGCAGCCAUGCCGCGUGAAUGAUGAAGGUCUUAGGAUUGUAAAAUUCUUUCACCGGGGACGAUAAUGACGGUACCCGGAGAAGAAGCCCCGGCUAACUUCGUGCCAGCCGCCGCGGUAG
rnacentral:rRNA from 1 species